CGUGGAUAACCUGCCUCAUACAGGGGGAUAACAGUUAGAAAUGACUGCUAAUACCGCAUAAGCGCACAGAGAUGCAUGUCUCGGUGUGAAAAGCUGAGGCGGUAUGAGAUGGAUCCGCGUCUGAUUAGCUGGUUGGCGGGGUAGAGGCCCACCAAGGCGACGAUCAGUAGCCGACCUGAGAGGGUGGCCGGCCACAUUGGGACUGAGACACGGCCCAAACUCCUACGGGAGGCAGCAG
rnacentral:rRNA from 1 species